rnacentral:rRNA from 1 species
UAGGGAAUCUUCCGCAAUGGACGCAAGUCUGACGGAGCAACGCCGCGUGAGUGAAGAAGGAUUUCGGUUCGUAAAACUCUGUUGUUAGAGAAGAACAGCGCAUAGAGUAACUGUUAUGCGUGUGACGGUAUCUAACCAGAAAGCCACGGCUAACUACGUGCCAGCAGCCGCGGUAAUACGUAGGUGGCAAGCGUUGUCCGGAUUUAUUGGGCGUAAAGCGAGCGCAGGCGGUCAAUUAAGUCUGAUGUGAAAGCCCCCGGCUCAACCGGGGAGGGUCAUUGGAAACUGUUUGACUUGAGUGCAGAAGAGGAGAGUGGAAUUCCAUGUGUAGCGGUGAAAUGCGUAGAUAUAUGGGGGAACACCAGUGGCGAAGGCGACUCUCUGGUCUGUAACUGACGCUGAGGUUCGAAAGCGUGGGUAGCAAACAGG